UCUUGCCAGUCCCUUUUUUCUCUUUUAACUUUUUUUCCCCUUUUUUAGCCUUUUUUAAGUUCUUAUUGUGUGAUUCUAAAAG
rnacentral:ribozyme from 11 species